ensembl:lncRNA PRSS30P serine protease 30, pseudogene
GGGGCUUCCACAUCGCAGCCCAGUAGGGUGGACUGACCGGUCUUCUGACCUCUGGCUCCUUGGAGGGACUGGCCUGAGGUGGGCCCUGGCAUCCCCAGCCUCCUCUAAACCACCUCCCUGGAACAUGCGGGACAGGAGCCCAAGCGGCAUCUGAGGAGGGCGGGUUCUGCCAGGCACAGAGGGCUCCAGCGUGAUUGCCACUGGUUAAUGACCUGCCACCCCCGCCCCCCCAACCUCUGGUGCCGUCCAAGGACUCUGACCCCAGUGCAGUGUCUGUAGGGAAGAGGAGCCAUGGGGCUUCGGGCAGGCCCCAUCCUGCUUCUGCUGCUGUGGCUGCUGCCAGGGUGACUCCGGGGGGCCGCUGGUCUGCCCCAUCAAUGAUACGUGGAUCCAGGCCGGCAUUGUGAGCUGGGGAUUCGGCUGUGCCCGGCCUUUCCGGCCUGGUGUCUACACCCAGGUGCUAAGCUACACAGACUGGAUUCAGAGAACCCUGGCUGAAUCUCACUCAGGCAUGUCUGGGGCCCGCCCAGGUGCCCCAGGAUCCCACUCAGGCACCUCCAGAUCCCACCCAGUGCUGCUGCUUGAGCUGUUGACCGUAUGCUUGCUUGGGUCCCUGUGAACCAUGAGCCAUGGAGUCCGGGAUCCCCUUUCUGGUAGGAUUGAUGGAAUCUAAUAAUAAAAACUGUAGGUUUUUUAUGUGUA